GCUUAAGGCCAUACCACCCACAACACGGCCAAUCUUAUUUGAUCUUGAAAGCUAAGCAAGGUCGGGCCUGGUUAGUACUGGGAUCAGAGACCGCCUGGGAAUCCCAGGUGCUGUAAGCU
ensembl:rRNA 5S_rRNA 5S ribosomal RNA